rnacentral:tRNA from 1 species
GUUUAUUUAGCUUAAAUAUUAGAGUGUUACAUUGAAGCUGUAAAGGUAAUUACUAUUAUUAAACA